UAAACUUUUCUUCUUAAAGAUUAUAAAUACACAUUUUAUAUGAAGAUUUCUGGCACAUAAAAGGAUGAUUGUCUAAUACUUCAGCUAAAUGUGCUCGAUUUAUUUUCAUAACCUUCAGACAUUUGUCCAGAAGCUGCUUCCUAGAUUGCUAGCACACCCCCACAGAAAUGGACUGCAUGCAGUGGGAGGAAGUGAACUAAAAGGGUUGUAAGGAUGGAAGAAUCCAGUGAUGUGAAGCCAAAUCACAGACCUGCUCCAUUACAUGGAUCCAGAUCCUCAUAGACCACCACCAUUCCUGUGGGGCUUUUCAGCUUUUUCCCUUCUGUGCCUCUGACUGCCAGGUCUCUCUUCUAGUCCCCCUGCUCAUGCUGAUGGAAGCAGUUAAAUGAUGUUAAGACAGUCAUUUAAUCCGACUAUGCUUCAGUGUAUCAUCUUUGAGGACAAUAACCGUAUCAGUGAGAAAAAGGAUAUCAACACCUACCAUAUGUUAUAAGCAUGUUGUGGAAUAAAUGCAUUCAUAACUGAGCCCCUCGUAUUACAGUGAUGAUGGCCACUGUAUAUUAAGUAAAUAGACAUUCAACAUGUACUGAAAUGAAUGUACAUGCUUUACAUCAUUUGCUAUCUUUUCAGCCUUUUCAUUGAUAUAUUGCUGAAUAACACAUAAAAGAAAUCCAUUAUCUGCACACUGAUGGAGGAGAUAAGUGUCCCUUUCAAUGUAAAGAGUUUUUAAUUAGACCUAUGCAGCUUUUCACUGUCACUAUCAACAGAGAUUAUGGGCACUCCCCCCUCAGAACCAUUUGGCCCAUGCUAGCGGUUGUUUCCAAAAUGAGCUUUCACAGGUUUUUGCUGAGGGUAAAGUACAUUGUAACAAUUAUGAAACCACUUCUGGCUAGCAGAAGAGUGGUUUUAAAGUUUGCCAGUUUUCUAAAGCAACCUACCCUGCAUGGAGUCUAAACUAAAGAAAGCCAAAGCAGCUGCAAUAUGAAACACUGUUCUAUUACAGAGAUAUUCAAAACCAUUUUGCUACUGUACAAACAUUUAAAACAUAAAAAUAAAUGAGCUAAACUGUGAAGCUGUAGCUAUCCUAUUGUCAAGUUAAAUAAAUACUGAAGAAUAGCUGAGAACUAAAGAGUAAUUGUUGUUUCAUGACCUGUGCUUUCCAGAAGGCCACUUCAAGUACAUUUAAACACUAACUGAAGAAAAUAUGUUAAUGAAACAAGUUUCUGUGUUUGUUCAUCACCCAGUUUGGCAAUGGUCAGGAGUCCUCUGCCAACAAAAUUACUAAAGAAUUCACCCACUACUGCAGAAUAUUGAGGCAGGAUCUCAGCUUUCUUUAUUAAAAAUAAAGCACAUUUUUGGCCUUAUGGUUGCAAAGAAAACUUUCAAAGUACCAAUUGAAUGUAAAUUCACCAGGUGAUGUGUGCCUGAGUUUGCAAGCAAAUUAGAAAAAAUAGCUCUUGUAAGUGUAAACUGACCCACUGAUUUCACCUACUGAAUUAA